GUUUGCUUCCUUCGAUUUCUCUCGCUUACUCUCCUUGUGGAGGGCGUAGCUGACCUGCGUGCACAUACACUGACGCAGUGUGUCUGUGCGUGCUGCGUGUGCAAGCGUCGUCACUGUGUGCACAAGGAAUCGCAGAGCUGCUUCCACACACAUACGCACGCGAAUCGGAAAACGAACAUUUUUCACGAGGUCGCUGCUCCAGACAUGUCGUCAUCGCCAUCGUCAUCUCCGCCUCAGGAGCCGCCGCGCGUGCUCUUUCCACAGGAGUGCUCCCAUGACACGCACUGCAUGAGCCACACGGGCAACCUCUACACCGCCCUCAUCACGGGAGGAAGCAGACUGGUGCUGCUGAAGAACGGUGUGGUGCUAGCGCAAAGUUGCCCACUGUUCGACGAAGCGCCGACGGUGGCAGCCGCAGAGACGGCGGUGAGUACCGCGCCCCCAACUACCGAAGCCGCUGCCACCACGACGUCGAGAGGAGCGACAGCCUGCACAAGGGGCGAGUCUGCUCGGGCAUUGCCGGCCUCGGCAUCGCGGGUGUGCGCUGUGUCUGUGUACCAUUUCACCGAUGAUGUCUUGCGCGUUGCCGUAGCCACGACAACGGACGUGGUUUUGUUUGAGUUCGAUGAUGCCGGGCAGCUGUGGCGCGACACCCGUGCAUCUUCGUUUUGGCGAACAGCAGAGGGCGCGAACACUGUGCACGGCAGCGGGAUACCACCGCCGUCCUCUGCCGCCGCGUCGCCGGGCAAGGAUGGAAGUUCAACAAGUCGAUGCACAUCCAUGCAAGGGCGCAGCAACCUUUUCCAAACAUCGAAUGCAUCUUCUUCGUCCGCCGCGGCGAAGGGCUCUGGGCCUAUCACGAGCGGCGGGCAGCCAACUCAGAGGCAGUGCGGUUUCACAGGGCGGUUACGGUGGAGACACGUGACAUUCCGCUUGGGCGCGACGUUGUUGGCCACUCGCCCUGGACUGACCGAGGACGGCAACACUUCCUCCUCUUCGACCGCCCCAUACCCUGGCGCCGCGCCCACCGCUGCGGACGUGAGACUGAGAGGUGCGAGUGCCGCUGCUGCUGCCGUGCCGGUGCGGAUAUCUACGCCCGCACAUCCCUCCGUCGUGCGAGCAGUGGACUUUGUGAGCGCGGACACAUUGUGCAUCGUGCUCGACACAGAGGCGGUUCUGAUCGUGCUCGGUAAUAGCCAUGGCGCGCCGGCGCUCCCCUCUGUUGUGGGUAGCGCAGCUGCUGCCGUGCAGCUGCCGGAUCGCGUAGUGUGGCGCUCCAUGGGCGCCUACCGCAGCCUCGCCGUGUGUCGUGUGAAUCACCACGUUGCCCUCGCAUUGGGCCACGCCACGAUGGUCGUCUUUCCCUCCUGCGUCUUUCCUGCGGAUGAUCAGGUGCCCAUGUCGUCCCCUGCGUCGCCGAGCGUGGUGGACGAGCGCUGCUUCAGCCGCGUCGCGUCCACAGCCGCCCCCUCCCUGUUUUCUACAAACUCCGCAUCAGGCGGCGCACACGUAACCGCGACGGUGGGGAGCCGUGACUUCGCUGUCGCACCAACGCCGGCCUUCUCGCCAACGUCGCGCCCGACCUUGGUCGGGGGCUUUGCUGAAACGCCUGGCCAACCUACAACGACGUCUGGAGCGUCCGCGUCGCCCGCGGCCGGGGCGUACACGACCCUGGCAGAGCGCGCUCUCACCACCUCGGUCGGCAUCUACCACAUCACUGACAUGCAGUGGCACUGUGUCUCAUCGCACACGCUGCUAUGCGUCACGUGCACGCACCCGCAGGAGGAGACGGCAUACAUGAUGUUGUACACAGUGCAGUCACUGUCGAGCGUGCGGCGGUACACAAAUGUCAUGAGAGAGCACGCCGAUGGCGGAUGGGGCCCGUGCCGAGGCGGGUACGAGGGCGAGGAGCUCGACAUCGCCGACGCAAGCCUCCGCUUGUCUGGCAGGAGCGUCAAGAACAUUGUGCAGCUGGUCCCCGCCGGUGUGAUUGCGCUAGCCUACACCCCUUCUUUACGGAUGGCCGGGCAGCACGCGUACCCGUGCACGAACGGCAACACCGCAUUCCUUGUUGGGAACGCAACAUCUCCGGCGUCCACAGCCGACACGCCGCUGCACCCUCCCUCGCUGCAACCCGAGACACCAGACGUUGCGGCGCUCUCUGUCAGUACGGUGGCCGGGACGACGUGGGGAGGGGCGCCGCCGCCGCCCAUUGCCGAGAUGCAUACGAGCCUUGUCCCAAACUUCUCGCAUUCUGCUGAGGCCAACUCGAUGAGCAGCCGCAUGGAGUUUGUGCACGUCGAGGGUGACGGCACUGUGCGGACGUCGAGUUACGCGUUUGGGCGACAGAAGCACGCAAGUUUUGCCAAGCAGCGCGCCGUUGGGCUGGCUUGUAGGGAGCUGCUGCAGCCUCUCCUGCGCCUUUACGGCUCCCUGGUGAAGGUCACGGUUCUGCCACCGUGGCGUACGCGACCCAUCGAGCUCGGGCACGACACCAGCAAGCAGCCGUGCGCGGUGGAGCUGAUGCUCGGCGCGGCGCGGCGGUAUCGAAUGGUACUGCGCUUCACGAGUGGGGUGGUGCUAGCGGUGAUGGUGGACCUCUCCGCCGCCGUGUAUCGGGUGGAGUGCUUCCUGGCUUUGGGCUGCGCGCCGUUGUUGUCGCUGCGGACCGUGAUGCCUCUGGCAGAGGCGGAAAAGGCGCAGGGGCAGCCGCCGCCGCCGUCAUCUGUUUGGAACCCCGCGGGCUCGUCGACGAUCCUCAUCGCCGGCUUGCUCGGUUUCCCCACACCUGCGCUGCUGAUUCCAUCCGAGACGCCGCUGAGCUUGCCGAAGGCCCCUGCAUCGUUUCUGGAAGGUGGAGAGGAGGGCGCUGAAGACUUGGGGGCCGUGCAGCGGGCUGGUGGCUCUAUCUCGGCCGAUUCGGCAGCCGUCACGCGCACCGCCUCCGCCACCUCAUCACACAACGCUGCUCACGACGCUUCGAACUCCGUGGCGGCUGCGAUGCCUCCUCGGACCGUGUGGGCUGUGGUGCUGCUGCAGGUAGAGCCCUCUGGUAUGCAGGCGCGAGUGCUCACGGCGGCGCCGCUCACCGAGGUGCACAUCCCUGGCGUCUCGUUGAUGGCAGGUGCUCACGAUGGGGGCGGCGGCGGUGGUGGCGCGCAGAGCGCACGCCCGCCGCCGAGUGCGCCGACGGCUGCGAGUGCGGGCUCCAUGUCCGCGAGGGAUGCACCGCCAAUGCCACUGACAGCCGCCUCGACCGCUGCAGCAGCGGGCUGUGCGGCACAGGUGACGGAGGACGACGUCGUCUCCUUCAUGACUCUCAAGUGCCCGGAGAAACUUCGCUUCAUGCCGGCACUGCUGAAGGCGGCUCAGCAGGACGCGGGGCGCUUGAUGGCACAACUCAUUGCCAAGUACGGGACUGCGGAGGAGAGCGGUGAAGCCGUCGGCGUCGCCCAAGCGUCAGAGAAGGAGGCCAGGGCGGAUGACGGGGAGGUUGAGGCGGUGCCGGUCAUGUCUCGCUCCCACCCCGUUGUGCGUAGUCUUUCGGUGCUGACCAGUGGUUGCAUUGGUGCCGGAGGUGAGGUGCUGCUGCUGGUUCGCGCGAACGCGCUCUGCGGCGGCAACAGUGAGGGAGGCGAGGGCGGUGGUGCUGCGGCGCUAAUUCGACUCCGUCCACCAUGCCUCGAGGCACUUGCCCCGGUGCACCACCUCGUGGCUGCCGGCGGCUGUUACAUCCCUUUCGAGCCCAUUGUGGCCGAGUAUGUGCCGGUGCUUGCAGAGGUGCAGCAGCGGUGGUGGUCAGAGCCGCUACGGCCAGCCCAACUGUCUUCGACGUGCGGAGCUACAUCACCAAGACACUUGGAGGGCUCGGUGCAGGAUGUUCGAGAGGCUCUGCGCGCCUGCCAGCGUGUCUCCGCCGCGGCGGAGGGGGCGGCGGUGGUGCAGUGCCAGGUUGUACCGAGAUCGCCCGGGAUAGCGUACGUUCGCGUACGCACUCCCCUGUCGCCGGACACCGGCGAGGCGGAUGCGCCGACGGCCCUGCAGUGCCUUUCGCUGCCCUCGACGAUCGACCCGAAGAGCAUCACACGCGUGAUCGGCGCCCUGCUAGUGAACAACGAUGUUGUGAUCGGUGUGCUCUGCCGCACCGCAGGGGACAGCAAUGCCGCUUCCUCCGUCUUGUAUCUCUACGGUUGCCCAGCUGUUCAGUCGCUCGCGGCGCCUGGGGCAGCUGCCGCUGCUGCUACGGCGAAGCCGAGCGACAACGCUGGCAUGGCGGCGACUUGUCUCGCUUCAGGCUCUUCCGCGUUUACGCUUGAGGCAACGCUGCCCGGAGUGGACGCCUUCGACCUCAGCGCAAGUGGCGAAGCCGUGCUGCUGCGACGGUGGCCGGCCCAGGUGGGUAUGCCACCACCGUCGGCAGAGAGCGCCGCCGUGCAGGGGUCGCGGUUCGAGCGCUGGCUGCGCUGCUUUCCCAAAGAGAGCGACAGCGGCUAUUCCUACGUCCAGGACUGCACGUGGUGUCCGCCGUGCGGCACCACCGGCGGGCUGCUCGGAAUCGGUGGCCGUGGCUCGGCAGUCGCACCGGAAACGGUGACGGCUCUUAUGACUCUGGACGUGGCGGGGGCGUGGGAGGCAAACACCGUGGGCCUCUCGGUAGCAGAAGCGGCAAGGCUGGGCAGAAGCCGCACGUCCACCUGCCACGUACUCUACGCGACUACCAGCAACUCCUUCAUUCAUGUCCGCCAACUCCCGUUGCGCAGCAGCGGCGCCGCAGCGAGCGCGUCUGGCAGCUCAUCAGCUUCCGUCGUCGGAGAGGCAGCACUGCCGCAGUAUCAUCCCGAUGCUGUUAUGCAGCUGAUCGGCAUGGCGCGAUGGAACGCGCUGGCGAAGGUGUUGACGUGCGUCGCAGACGCGGUGAGGGCGGUGGUGGCGCCGGUGGGGGCUGACGGAGCAGCCUCGACUGUGGAUGAGUCAUCGAGUGUGAUGCUGUUCGAUCAGCCCCCGGAGGAGCUGGCGCGGCGCUUGUGCACCUCGGCCGUGGCGCGCGACUUUCAUGGCCGUCCGCAGGUGGCGCAGGAAGAGGAGGUGCUGCGUCGGGUAACUCCGCCGCAGCUGUCUGUGGCGGCGUUACGCGACGAAGAGAUGCAGGCCAACGCGAUGGCACCGGCGCCGUCUUCCUCGGCGCCUUGCACGACGGCAGCCGUCCGCCUUUAUGACUUCAGCGCCAUCUGCGGCGCGCUCGUCAGCGAGCUUACCCAACUGCUUCCCCAGGUCACCCUGAGCGGACUGGAUAGCCAAGAGCACCUGAAGUUGCUGUGCAUCUUGCAGGCCUUACGUGACACGUUGCCGCUGAGCCGCAGCGUCGACGAGGCAGCGGCGCGGCAUCUCUUCUACAGUCGCUACAUGGGCCUUGGAAGACGCCUGCGACUGACGAACGUAGACGCACCAGCUGCUGCCGCCACGGACUCGUGCGCCCCCAUCAACUCCGUGUUGCACUUCGAAGUUGACCGCACCGCCACGAGCACCGUCACAACGGCAUCGUAUUUGUGGGCGGCCAUGUCUGACUCGCAGUCGACUCUCCUAUCGCUCUUGUUCGACAAGGCAAGCACGGUGUACGUGGACGGCAGCGCUGGUGGUGCCCUCGGUGCCAGCGGUGGCGGUGGCGGGGGCACGGGGGCGGCAUUGGCGCCGAUCACAGGCGGCGCGUCGGCACAGGACCUGACCUGGGAGCAGGUGAAGCAGUCGGGGGUGGCGUUUUGGCUGCGCUCUGCGGCGGACUUGCGCGCCAUGGCGGACCGCGUCGCUCGCCAUCAGUAUCAGUCGACGAAGGAGCUGACCGACUGUGCGCUCAUGUACUGCACGGCUCGCAAGGCGGGCACGCUGGCGGCGCUGGCCAAGGCGCAGAACAACCAGAGGCUGCACGCCUUCUUUAGCCGCGACUUUGCAAACAACGAGCACAAUCGUGCGGCUGCCGCCGCCAACGCGUACGCCGCCAUCAGCAAGAACAUGCCGCAGUACGGUGCGGCUUUUUUCCUGCUGGCUGGUGACGUUCGGAGUGCGGUGCAGGUGCUGCUGCAGCGGUGUCGCAACCCGUCCUUGGCCUUGUUCGUGCUGCGAGCAGCCGGCGACGGUCUGGAAGAGCAGCCAUCGGCAGCGGAGACGACUCUGGAGUGGUACAUCGCGCAGCGCACGGCGGAGGCGGAGGUGUGUGGUGCGCUGGACAUGUGGGAGCUGACCUGCCUGAGCUGGCUCGACGUCAGCCCACCGCGGGUGUCGCCUGAAGUGGCGGUGCAGCGACGCGUCCGGGCGCUGCAGCGCAUCGCGGCCCACCCCACCGCGCACCCCGAGGCCCUCUGUGCGCUGCGCUACGCCAGAGACUGCGUGGCCGCCCUCGCCUAUCGCGGUGACCAAUUUCUCUCACCAGCUCGUGAGGUGGUGCUUCUGCUGCGGCUCGGUCGCUACUGCUUGGCGCAUCGACUAAGCCUGAAUGGCUACCUGCACUACCACGACGCGGAGGCGCUGCUGAGGGGGCUGCGGGCAGAGGCAGCAGCGGCGGCGUGCUCUGGUACGCUGCAACGCACAAGUAAUGGUGGGGAUAAGUCUCGCAGAGCACCGCCGCAGACGCCGAAAAUGGCGGCCGACUUCAACACCGGAACGCUUCUCUUUCGUGGGUUUGAUGGCAGCGACGACGACGACGAGGGCGGCAGCGACGACGGUGGAGCUUUCGCGCAUGCACGACAGGGCAGUUCCUCCUCCGCUGUGGGCGUCAGCAGCGCUGACGCCUCUUCGCCAUUAUUCACGCUGUCCGAUGGGGCGGCCGCUGCGGUGGAGGCGGAGGUGCAGUACGUGUACGCCCGCACCGGCGCUAUAGUGCGGCCAGGCAGUGACGCUGCAAGUAGCGCGGGUGCUACUGCGCACGCUGGCGAGUGCGAGGACAUUUUGCGCCGCAUGCUGCUGAGCUUUACCACUGCUUCGCCCUUCAUGAUGACGUCGAACGUGGCGGCUGCCGAUGGUGGCAGCAGGGCAGCGGAAACCGUGCUGAUGCCGUCGCUUGCCAUGUUGCCCUUGUCCUCAGAGCCGUCCUCGGUCCGGGCCAACCCGCACGCGCCAUUCCAGCAGCUGCUGACAUCGCUGCUACAUCGUUUAUCGGCCGUGGAGGUCAAUGCGCAGCAGGAACGUCGUGCGACGGCGGGCAAGCCAAGCGUCAGUAACGGCGCCGCAAGCGGAAUCGCGAACGUUGCCCAGGGUUGUUCACCAGUAGUGGUACUGCCACAAAUGCAGCCAGCAGGGACUUCGCUUUCUUCGGCAGUGGCGGCUGCUGUGCCGUCUUUGAGUAUCGCCACCCCUACAGCCGCAGACGGGGGCUGGCACGCCCUGUGCGUGCCCCUGCUUCACUUCCUCCUGAGCAGUGUGGCGUUGCAUUGCGCUAACUAUAUCGUGCUGCUCGCCCUCCAGCGUGUCCCCGUCUCCACGGAAGGGGUGCUGAAGGCCGCGAUGCAGGCGAAGCUUCUGUCGGACGACGGUGACGCGCUGCAAGGAGCCGGCGACACCCCUCCCCCCGCUGCUGAUGCUGCUACGGUGGCACCGCCGCUCGCUGCGCCACUAUCCCCGUUGCACCGUCCUCUGAUUGCCUUUUUCCAUCUUCUUCUGCACCAUAUGAGACGGCACUACCGUGACGCAUGGGCGGCUGACGGCGGUCGCCUCGGUGGUGGGCAGGCAUCCACGUCACCGAGCCACCAUCUGGAGGCAUGCGGCGGCAAGGGUUGUGUGUGGGGAGUGACCAACGACGAUGACACGGAAGUGAUGGCGGAGGAGGAUGGCGCAAUGCGCGGCGGCAGCGAGGACGGCGGUCAGGUCUAUCGGAGCAUGUUCGACGCGCUUCUUGCUGCUGCGACCGCAGCGGAGGAGUCCAAUAAUUGUGCGACGCGGGUGGUUAGGACGUCCUGCAGUGCAGGGACAAACUGGAGCAGCUUUCGCGCACGGGCCGACGCGGAUGGCGCCACCAUCGAUGCCGACGCACCUGGCGACUCGAUGCCGCUGCACCUUGCAGACUCGGCUCAGGUGUCGCUGCUGCUUUCGUGUUGCCAGGCCCAGCUACACUUGCGGCUUAUGGAGCACCUCAAGCAGCUGACACGGGCGGAGCUGGACUCGGAGGUGAUUACGCCAACCGCGCAGCGCGCCAUGGACGCCGGGAUCCUCUAUGCCGAUGCGCUCUCCCUGGAGGCGAAGGCGGCGCUGGUGCAGCGUCGCAUACUGCACUGCACACUGCUGCUAGACGUGACGUCCCGUUGGAGCACGCUCUCGGAGGAGUGCAUGAUGCGCAUCUACGCAGCGCAGCCGCAGUACGCGCCCGGUCCUUUGACGGACCCCAAUGGCGUUUUCCUAGAAGUGCAGCAGACGGUGAGGCUGAUGCAUGCGGUGUUGGUGGCGGUGCUGGACGCUCCGCCGAGAUAUAUGCAGGCAAGCACUUCUCCGGCGACAGCGGAGGCCUCAGCGGCAGCCGAAUGUGGUGGUGCAAAAAUGGCUGCACACCGUGCGCCGUUCGAUCCUGUGACGCCGCCGCCGCUGCCCAAGUCGUCGACCUCGUGGUUAGAGGACAACACACUCACGAUGCUAGAGCUGUGUGCGACACAGCUGGAGCUGUUCUGGACGCUGCCGGCGCCGACACUGGCACAGUGCUGUCAGCUAGCAGCACCGACCCGCGCGGCGCUGGAACUGCUGCAGGAGUCUACUGCGUCACACACGUCGGCGCGAGCGCUGCUGGAGUGCAUGCUGCGCCCAGUGAAGUUAGCAGCAGAUCCCCUGGCGGAGCACAAUCGUCUCGGCAACGCAGGCACGCCUUUCAACGACGCCGCCUCCGCCUCCCAGGGCCUCUUCGCCUUUUCAGCUGCAGCGACACCGGUCUCCUCGUCGCACAUGACACGGACGGCGUCUCCCUGGGCACCUGACUUUACACCGUCGCCGGAUGAACCGCAGCAGCGUAACGGCCACACCGAGGUGUACUGCCCCGCACUCUCUUACAUGCAACUGGCGUGGAUGCGGCGGCACCACACGCACGCACUGCUUCGGGGGCUGCUGCUCAUGGUGACGCUGAAUUGCGGUCAGGGACAGGGCCAACGUCCUGUCAGCACCGACCGCCUUAUCCUUGCUCAACACAACCACAGUGUCACCGGGGUCCACUUCGACGCCUCCAGCUGCGACAGCGUGGUGUGGACGACUGAAUCCGGCACCUCGGUUGGUCACGGCUUCCGCGAACUCCUCGCCGGGGACAACGAGGAGGCGCUGUGGAAGCAGGCAACGGAGCGAAACUUGGCGACGGCCGCCUUUACUCUUGGGCUGACCGCACAGCACGAGCGGCUGCGCUUGGCGGCGGAGCACGCGGAGCAGCAGUACACACCCGCUGUCAUCGCAGCGGUGGCAGCCAAGUCAGCGCUCGAGAGCCGACCGCGGCUUGGCGAGGCGGCCAACGCGAUGCCGUCCAGCCACCCGCACCUGCCGUUCUUUGUCUCUCGGCACCUCGACGGACACCUCGACCUCUACCCCUUCGCGUCUCAGGAGUGCGUGGCGAGCUUCCGCUGUGCGGCGCGUCACGGCCAAAGCGCGAUGGGGCGUAGCGGCGGCGUUGGCACCAGCCACAGCAGCGCAUGCGUAUGGCGAGCGUGGGGAGUAGCGGCGGGGCCCACCGCGGCCGUACCGGCACACAGCGCGCGGCUGGCUUGCUCUGCAGUUGGUGCAGCUGUGUCCUCGUCGCUCGACCGCGACGACGGCUACGCCGUCACCCCCGUUGCCUUCUCCCCCAACGGCUACAUCGUUGCCGCGGGCCUCUCGGACGGCUCCGUGGCGGGCUGGCGCUUUGCCGCGGCGGCCGUGGAGAGCCCGCCGGCGUUCUCCUUUCCGCCGCUGUUCACCCCCUCCGGCAUACGCAGCUGCACGUUCUGUGGUGAUCGGAGCUCGCUGAUGGUGGUGGUCGGGGUGGCCAAGGAGCCGCACCAGUAUCGGCACGGCUACGCGACCGCUGACUCGACGUCUUCUCUUGGCAUCAGUGCAGCCACACCACUCUCUGCACUCGCUCCUCCCUUGGUGCCCUCGUCUGUCGCAGCGGCCCCCGCCUCCGCAUCCACCACGUGGCCCAGCACAGCUGCGAGUUUCGAUGCUGGAGAGAUGGUGGGCGAGAUGCUGAUCCUUGAUACCAUGCUGGGCGCCGGUGCCAUCACGGCUCGGUGCGCGCUGCCCUUCAUACCCUCCUACGCUGUCUACAUCGCGUCUCUGCGAGCGGUGCUGAUGGUGUCCUUGGAAGGCAUGCUGGCCACGUACGCGGUGGCAACGGGCAGGUUAGCCGUACUGGGCACGGUGCCCGUUACGACGGUGCUGCGGUCUGCGCUGGGGCCGUCGCUCGGCGCCGACUGCGGUGAUGCCGGCGCGGGUGCCGCGUCGUCUAGGAGCGGUGCAACGGACAGUGAUACGGUGUACAUCACAUGUGUGGCGCGCAGCAGCUACGACCCACUCGUUGCACUCGGCGUAUCCAACGGCCUGGUACUGCUGCUGCACUUCCGCAGCAUCAGUGCGGCGAUGGCACGGACGGAGCGGCGCAUCCGAGACGAGGGCGAGGACACGUUUGUGUAUUACCCACCACGCGCGUUUUCCGCCGGCUCCGACACAACCGAGAGCCGCCGCAGCAAGCGCAAAGUUGCUCAGCAAACGAAGAGUGGCGCGGUUGCAUCGGCCAGCGCGACGGCGCGGGUGACGAGCGAGGUGGCGGCGCCGGCGAUGGGCAAGGAGUUUCUCGCACGGCUUCCAGAAAAAACGGUGUUGAGUGAGGCAACGUACAUGCAGGUGGCGCCGCACAUCAACACCCGCAGCGCCAUCGUAGAUCUCGUGUUUAGUCCGUCGAUGCUGCUGGCCGGGUUGCAAGAUGGGAAGGUGAUGGCGGCCUCGCUCAUCGCGCACGCGACUCGAGCGCGUCUCACGGCCGGCUGUACGAUCCCGAGCGAUCUACUAGAGUGUCCGUGAAGCCUGAGUGUGUCUGCACGCAAGAUUCUCGUGUGGAGACAAAACCUUUAAGUUACAUGAAUGCCGUGCGAGGCCCUUGUGCACGCAUGUCUCUCUCCCAUUCCUUUCCGACGUUUCUAUGUGCGCGUGUGUGCGGGCAUAUGCGCGCAAAAAAGAAAACGCGAGAGACCCCGGAAGCGCACCCAACACCACCAACGGAUGCGAUGUGUGCCGUAUCGCGAGGCGAUAAAUCGCCGAGCCCGCAUAGGGCCUUUUACGGGUAUUGCUGCGGACAUGCUUCUCGACGCACGCACGAGUUGCCCCCCGCCCCUAACACGCACGUGCAAAGACAUAAAGGCACACAGCAAGCAACACAGAGACACACUUUAUAUGCGUGGAUGUCUGUGCGCACGCGAGUUAUGUCUCGAUCUCUCUCCCUCCCUCUCUUUACCUUAUGCUUGCUGUUGUGCGUUGCCGUUUCGAAGCUCUUGUUUUCUUUGACACUCACUCGUCCGCCGCCGCCGCCCUCCUCCCCCCCCCCCCCGCUGACACCGUCACCAUCAUAG
rnacentral:misc_RNA from 1 species